GGCAGGGUAGCUCAGCGGUAGAGCACGAAAACGUUUCUCCAACCCUGGUUGCCUGCACCCCGGCAAAUGCGGAAGGAAUUACAUGGGGGUCGUAAAUGCAGGUUCGAAUCCUGCUCCUGCCU
rnacentral:tRNA from 1 species